GCCCUACGGGGGAAAAAUUUAUUGCUAUUAGAUGAGCCUAUAUUAGAUUAGUUAGUUGGUGAGGUAAAGGCUUACCAAGACAAUGAUCUAUAGCUGAUCUGAGAGGAUGAUCAGCCACACUGGAACUGAGAUACGGUCCAGACUCCUACGGGAGGCAGCAGUGGGGAAUAUUGGACAAUGGGCGAAAGCCUGAUCCAGCCAUGCCGCAUGAGUGAAGAAGGCCUUCGGGUUGUAAAGCUCUUUUAGUGAGGAAGAUAAUGACGGUACUCACAGAAGAAGUCCUGGCUAACUCCGUGCCAGCAGCCGCGGUAAUACGGAGGGGGCUAGCGUUAUUCGGAAUCAUUGGGCGUAAAGGGCGCGUAGGCGGGUUAGUAAGUUAAAAGUGAAAUCCCAAGGCUCAACCUUGGAACUGCUUUUAAAACUGCUAGUCUAGAGAUUGAAAGAGGAUAGAGGAAUUCCUAGUGUAGAGAUGAAAUUCGUAAAUAUUAGGAGGAACACCAGUGGCGAAGGCGUCUAUCUGGUUCAAAUCUGACGCUGAGGCGCGAAGGCGUGGGGAGCAAACAGGAUUAGAUACCCUGGUAGUCCACGCUGUAAACNAUGAAUGUUAAAUAUGGGAAGUUUACUUUCUGUAUUAUAGCUAACGCGUUAAACAUUNCGCCUGGGGACUAC
rnacentral:rRNA from 1 species